rnacentral:tRNA from 1 species
GCGUAGCUCAGUCGGUAGAGCAUCUGACUUUUAAUCAGAGGGUCCUGGGUUCGAGUCCCAGCG